rnacentral:lncRNA from 1 species
GUAGUCAUAAAAACCUGAACUUUGAUGUAUCUAUCAAUGUCAGCAUCUUGUCUCUGCAACUCACGCUCAAUAUCAUCACCCACAAGCCCAAGAAAUGCUGAGUCGCUACAAGAACCCAAACGUCCAUUAUCCAAUGACAAGCCCAAUCCAGUCGACACCGAUCGCUGCUGCAAGAAAUCAACAGAAGAUAUCUGGGAGUUAUUGUUUUCAAGAAAAUCUUGCUCUUUGAGUCUCCUUUUCUUUGGUUCCAGCGCAUAAUUCCAUUGCAAAUCUAGCCCUCCUUCAUCAGCUGGACCUGGAGCUAACCCCACUACUUGAA